UACGUAGGGUGCGAGCGUUUGUCCGGAAUUAUUGGGCGUAAAGGGCUCGUAGGCGGUCUGUUGCGUCAGGAGUGAAAACUCGGGGCUUAACCCCGAGCCUGCUUCUGAUACGGGCAGACUAGAGGUAUGCAGGGGAGAACGGAAUUCCUGGUGUAGCGGUGAAAUGCGCAGAUAUCAGGAGGAACACCGGUGGCGAAGGCGGCGACCUGGGACGAUACUGACGCUGAGGUGCGAAAGCGUGGGGAGCAAACAGG
rnacentral:rRNA from 1 species